AUGACUUUGAUCUGCGUCCUCAUCUGGACUCUCCUCUGCUGCUGCUUCACAGAGUCCAGAGGACAGAUCACAGUGACUCAGCCUGGAGCAGUGAGCUCUGCUGUGGGAGGAACUGUGACCAUCAAGUGUACGACCAGUCAGAAUGUUUAUAACACCAACUAUUUAGCCUGGUACCAACAGAAAGAUGGAGGAGUUCCUAAACUGCUCAUUUACUAUGCUAGCAAUCGACAAUCAGGGAUUCCAGCUCGUUUUACAGGCAGUGGAUCAAACUCUGACUUCACUCUGACCAUCAGUGGAGUCCAGGCUGAAAAUGCAGCAGUUUAUUACUGUCAGGGGGAAUUCAAAGUUAACGGUCUGUGGGUGUUCACACAGUGA